rnacentral:lncRNA from 1 species
UUCAAUAUACAGUUUGAAAAAACUUUCCUUUUAUUUCUUGCAAAAAAAUUUCUCUUCUAAAAUUAGGGAAAUUACAUAAAUAAUUGUUAUACUUUCCGUUAUUACUCGCAUGUCCGUUUUUUUCACUUCAUAACAAUUUUUUUAAAAAGACCAUUUUACCCUUUUCGGUUGUUGAACCACCGAAAUUUUUGGAAUUUCCGUUUUUCAAAAACCGAAAUUCUUUUAAUUUCGGAUUUUGAAAAAUUGAAAAUUAAAAGUUUUUGUUUUUUCAAAAUCGAAAAUUUUUGCGUGACAAAACCCAAUUUAAGGUAUCCUACAAGCGCAUGGGAGCAUUUUUAUUGUUAUUUUAUAGUUUCAAAAUUUUUUUGUCCCCAAAUAUAGUAUCCUGCAAACUUUUUUGUCC